CCUACGGGCGGCUGCAGUAAGGAAUAUUGGUCAAUGGAGGAAACUCUGAACCAGCCAUCCCGCGUGAAGGAUGAAGGGGCUCUGCCUUGUAAACUUCUUUUGUCUGGGGCGAAAAAGCUCGAUUUAUCGAGAACUGACGGUACCAGAAGAAUAAGCACCGGCUAACUCCGUGCCAGCAGCCGCGGUAAUACGGAGGGUUCAGGCGUUAUCGGGAAUCACUGGGUCUUAGGCGUCUGUAGGCGGAUUAGGAGAAAGGCUGUGGCUUAACCAUGGAAUUGCCAUUGAUACUGCAGAGCUUGAAUGAGGUUGAGGUUGGCGGAAUGUGACAUGUAGCGGUGAAAUGCUUAGAUAUGUCAUGGAACACCGAUUGCGAAGGCAGCUGACUGGACCUAUAUUGACGCUGAGGCACGAAAGCGUGGGGAGCGAACAGGAUUAGAUACCCCGGUAGUC
rnacentral:rRNA from 1 species